GACGAACGCUGGCGGCGUGCCUAAUACAUGCAAGUCGAGCGAGACUCUUCGGAGUCUAGCGGCGGACGGGUGAGUAACACGUGGGCAACCUGCCUGUAAGACUGGGAUAACACCGGGAAACCGGUGCUAAUACCGGAUAAUCCUUUUCCUCUCAUGAGGAAAAGUUGAAAGUCGGUUUCGGCUGACACUUACAGAUGGGCCCGCGGCGCAUUAGCUAGUUGGUGAGGUAACGGCUCACCAAGGCGACGAUGCGUAGCCGACCUGAUAGGGUGAGCGGCCAACCUGGGAGGGAGACACGGCCCAGACGCCUACGGGAGGCAGCAGUAGGGAAGCUGCCACAGUUGACGAAAGGCUGAUGGGGCAACGCCGCGUGAGGGAUGAAGGCCUUGGGGUCGUAAAGCUCUGUUGUUAGGGAAGAACAAGUACCGGAGUAACUGCCGGUACCUUGACGGUACCUAACCAGAAAGCCACGGCUAACUACGUGCCAGCAGCCGCCGUAAAAC
rnacentral:rRNA from 1 species